GGGUUAGGGUUAGGGUUGGAGUUAGGGUUAGUGUUGGAGCUAGGGUUAGGGUUGGGCUUAGAGCUAGGAUUUUUGUGAGUGCAAUGAACCAACUCCCGAGUCUCUAGAACGUUCCUAAAAAAAUUUGAUUUUUUUCCCAUAGGAAUGCAUGGGUUAGGGUUAGGGUUAGGGUUGGAGCUAGGGUUAGGGUUAGGGUUAGGGUUGGAGUUAGGGUUAGUGUUGGAGCUAGGGUUAGGGUUGGGCUUGGAGCUAGGAUUUUUCUGAGUGCACUGAACCAACUCCCGAGUCUCUAGAACAUUCCUAAAAAAAAUUGAUUUUUUCCCAUAGGAAUGCAUGGGUUAGGGUUAUGGUUAGGGUUAGGGUUGGAGCUAGGGUUAGGGUUAGGGUUAGGGUUGGAGUUAGGGUUAGUGUUGGAGCUAGGGUUAGGGUUGGGCUUGGAGCUAGGAUUUGUCUGAGUGCACUGAACCAACUCCCGAGUCUCUAGGACAUUCCUAAAAAAAUUUGAUUUUUUCCCAUAGGAAUGCAUGGGUUAGGGUUAUAGUUAGGGUUAGGGUUGGAGCUAGGGUUAGGGUUAUGGUUAGGGUUGGAGUUAGGGUUAGUGUUGGAGCUAGGGUUAGGGUUGGGCUUGGAGCUAGGAUUUUUCUGAGUGCAAUGAACCAACUCCGGAGUCUCUAGGACGUUCCUAAAAAAAUUUGAUUUUUUCCCAUAGGAAUGCAUGGGUUAGGGUUAUGGUUAGGGUUAGGGUUGGAGCUAGGGUUAGGGUUAGGGUUAGGGUUGGAGUUAGGGUUAGGGUUGCAGCUAGGGUUAGGGUUGGGCUUGGAGCUAGGAUUUUUCUGAGUGCACUGAACCAACUCCCGAGUCUCUAGGACAUUCCUAAAAAAAUUUGAUUUUUUCCCAUAGGAAUGCAUGGGUUAGGUUUAUGGUUAGGGUUAGGGUUGGAGCUAGGGUUAGGGUUAGGGUUAGGGUUGGAGUAAGGGUUAGUGUUGGAGCUAGGGUUAGGGUUGGGCUUGGAGCUAGGAUUUUUCUGAGUGCACUGAACCAACUCCCGAGUCUCUAGGACAUUCCUAAAAAAAAUUGAUUUUUUCCCAUAGGAAUGCAUGGGUUAGGGUUAUGGUUAGGGUUAGGGUUGGAGCUAGGGUUAGGGUUAGGGUUAGGGUUGGAGUUAGGGUUAGUGUUGGAGCUAGGGUUAGGGUUGGGCUUGGAGCUAGGAUUUGUCUGAGUGCAAUGAACCAACUCCCGAGUCUCUAGGACGUUCCUAAAAAAAUUUGAUUUUUUUCCCAUAGGAAUGCAUGGGUUAGGGUUAGGGUUAGGGUUGGAGCUAGGGUUAGGGUUAGGGUUAGGGUUGGAGUUAGGGUUAGUGUUGGAGCUAGGGUUAGGGUUGGGCUUGGAGCUAGGAUUUGUCUGAGUGCACUGAACCAACUCCCGAGUCUCUAGGACAUUCCUAAAAAAAUGUGAUUUUUUCCCAUAGGAAUGCAUGGGUCAGGGUUAGGGUUAGGGUUGGAGCUAGGGUUAGGGUUAGGGUUAGGGUUGGAGUUAGGGUUAGUGUUGGAGCUAGGGUUAGGGUUGGGCUUGGAGCUAGGAUUUUUCUGAGUGCACUGAACCAACUCCCGAGUCUCUAGGACAUUCCUAAAAAAAUUGAUUUUUUCCCAUAGGAAUGCAUGGGUUAGGGUUAUGGGUUAGGGUUAGGGUUGGAGCUAGGGUUAGGGUUAGGGUUAGGGUUGGAGUUAGGGUUAGGGUUGGAGCUAGGGUUAGGGUUGGGCUUGGAGCUAGGAUUUUUCUGAGUGCACUGAACCAACUCCCGAGUCUCUAGGACAUUCCUAAAAAAAUUUGAUUUUUUCCCAUAGGAAUGCAUGGGUUAGGGUUAGGGUUAGGGUUGGAGCUAGGGUUAGGGUUAGGGUUAGGGUUGGAGUUAGGGUUAGUGUUGGAGCUAGGGUUAGGGUUGGGCUUGGAGCUAGGAUUUUUCUGAGUGCAAUGAACCAACUCCCGAGUCUCUAGGACGUUCCUAAAAAAAUUUGAUUUUUUCCCAUAGGAAUGCAUGGGUUAGGGUUAUGGUUAGGGUUAGGGUUGGAGCUAGGGUUAGGGUUAGGGUUAGGGUUGGAGUUAGGGUUAGUGUUGGAGCUAGGGUUAGGGUUGGACUUGGAGCUAGGACUUUUCUGAGUGCAAUGAACCAACUCCCGAGUCUCUAGGACGUUCCUAAAAAAAUUUGAUUUUUUCCCAUAGGAAUGCAUGGGUUAGGGUUAUGGUUAGGGUUAGGGUUGGAGCUAGGGUUAGGGUUAGGGUUAGGGUUGGAGUUAGGGUUAGUGUUGGAGCUAGGGUUAGGGUUGGGCUUGGAGCUAGGAUUUUUCUGAGUGCACUGAACCAACUCCCGAGUCUCUAGGACAUUCCUAAAAAAAUUUGAUUUUUUCCCAUAGGAAUGCAUGGGUUAGGGUUAGGGUUAGGGUUGGAGCUAGGGUUAGGGUUAGGGUUAGGGUUGGAGUUAGGGUUAGUGUUGGAGCUAGGGUUAGGGUUGGGCUUGGAGCUAGGAUUUUUCUGAGUGCACUGAACCAACUCCCGAGUCUCUAGAACAUUCCUAAAAAAAUUUGAUUUUUUCCCAUAGGAAUGCAUGGGUUAGGGUUAUGGUUAGGGUUAGGGUUGGAGCUAGGGUUAGGGUUAGGGUUAGGGUUGGAGUUAGGGUUAGUGUUGGAGCUAGGGUUAGGGUUGGGCUUGGAGCUAGGAUUUGUCUGAGUGCACUGAACCAACUCCCGAGUCUCUAGGACAUUCCUAAAAAAAUUUGAUUUUUUCCCAUAGGAAUGCAUGGGUUAGGGUUAUAGUUAGGGUUAGGGUUGGAGCUAGGGUUAGGGUUAUGGUUAGGGUUGGAGUUAGGGUUAGUGUUGGAGCUAGGGUUAGGGUUGGGCUUGGAGCUAGGAUUUUUCUGAGUGCAAUGAACCAACUCCGGAGUCUCUAGGACGUUCCUAAAAAAAUUUGAUUUUUUCCCAUAGGAAUGCAUGGGUUAGGGUUAUGGUUAGGGUUAGGGUUGGAGCUAGGGUUAGGGUUAGGGUUAGGGUUGGAGUUAGGGUUAGGGUUGCAGCUAGGGUUAGGGUUGGGCUUGGAGCUAGGAUUUUUCUGAGUGCACUGAACCAACUCCCGAGUCUCUAGGACAUUCCUAAAAAAAUUUGAUUUUUUCCCAUAGGAAUGCAUGGGUUAGGUUUAUGGUUAGGGUUAGGGUUGGAGCUAGGGUUAGGGUUAGGGUUAGGGUUGGAGUAAGGGUUAGUGUUGGAGCUAGGGUUAGGGUUGGGCUUGGAGCUAGGAUUUUUCUGAGUGCACUGAACCAACUCCCGAGUCUCUAGGACAUUCCUAAAAAAAAUUGAUUUUUUCCCAUAGGAAUGCAUGGGUUAGGGUUAUGGUUAGGGUUAGGGUUGGAGCUAGGGUUAGGGUUAGGGUUAGGGUUGGAGUUAGGGUUAGUGUUGGAGCUAGGGUUAGGGUUGGGCUUGGAGCUAGGAUUUGUCUGAGUGCAAUGAACCAACUCCCGAGUCUCUAGGACGUUCCUAAAAAAAUUUGAUUUUUUCCCAUAGGAAUGCAUGGGUUAGGGUUAGGGUUAGGGUUGGAGCUAGGGUUAGGGUUAGGGUUAGGGUUGGAGUUAGGGUUAGUGUUGGAGCUAGGGUUAGGGUUGGGCUUGGAGCUAGGAUUUGUCUGAGUGCACUGAACCAACUCCCGAGUCUCUAGGACAUUCCUAAAAAAAUGUGAUUUUUUCCCAUAGGAAUGCAUGGGUUAGGGUUAGGGUUAGGGUUGGAGCUAGGGUUAGGGUUAGGGUUAGGGUUGGAGUUAGGGUUAGUGUUGGAGCUAGGGUUAGGGUUGGGCUUGGAGCUAGGAUUUUUCUGAGUGCACUGAACCAACUCCCGAGUCUCUAGGACAUUCCUAAAAAAAUUUGAUUUUUUCCCAUAGGAAUGCAUGGGUUAGGGUUAUGGUUAGGGUUAGGGUUGGAGCUAGGGUUAGGGUUAGGGUUAGGGUUGGAGUUAGGGUUAGGGUUGCAGCUAGGGUUAGGGUUGGGCUUGGAGCUAGGAUUUUUCUGAGUGCACUGAACCAACUCCCGAGUCUCUAGGACAUUCCUAAAAAAAUUUGAUUUUUUCCCAUAGGAAUGCAUGGGUUAGGGUUAGGGUUAGGGUUGGAGCUAGGGUUAGGGUUAGGGUUAGGGUUGGAGUUAGGGUUAGUGUUGGAGCUAGGGUUAGGGUUGGGCUUGGAGCUAGGAUUUUUCUGAGUGCAAUGAACCAACUCCCGAGUCUCUAGGACGUUCCUAAAAAAAUUUGAUUUUUUCCCAUAGGAAUGCAUGGGUUAGGGUUAUGGUUAGGGUUAGGGUUGGAGCUAGGGUUAGGGUUAGGGUUAGGGUUGGAGUUAGGGUUAGUGUUGGAGCUAGGGUUAGGGUUGGACUUGGAGCUAGGACUUUUCUGAGUGCAAUGAACCAACUCCCGAGUCUCUAGGACGUUCCUAAAAAAAUUUGAUUUUUUCCCAUAGGAAUGCAUGGGUUAGGGUUAUGGUUAGGGUUAGGGUUGGAGCUAGGGUUAGGGUUAGGGUUAGGGUUGGAGUUAGGGUUAGUGUUGGAGCUAGGGUUAGGGUUGGGCUUGGAGCUAGGAUUUUUCUGAGUGCACUGAACCAACUCCCGAGUCUCUAGGACAUUCCUAAAAAAAUUUGAUUUUUUCCCAUAGGAAUGCAUGGGUUAGGGUUAGGGUUAGGGUUGGAGCUAGGGUUAGGGUUAGGGUUAGGGUUGGAGUUAGGGUUAGUGUUGGAGCUAGGGUUAGGGUUGGGCUUGGAGCUAGGAUUUUUCUGAGUGCACUGAACCAACUCCCGAGUCUCUAGGACAUUCCUAAAAAAAUUUGAUUUUUUCCCAUAGGAAUGCAUGGGUUAGGUUUAUGGUUAGGGUUAGGGUUGGAGCUAGGGUUAGGGUUAGGGUUAGGGUUGGAGUUAGGGUUAGUGUUGGAGCUAGGGUUAGGGUUGGGCUUGGAGCUAGGAUUUUUCUGAGUGCAAUGAACCAACUCCCGAGUCUCUAGGACGUUCCUAAAAAAAUUUGAUUUUUUCCCAUAGGAAUGCAUGGGUUAGGGUUAGGGUUAGGGUUGGAGCUAGGGUUAGGGUUAGGGUUAGGGUUGGAGUUAGGGUUAGUGUUGGAGCUAGGGUUAGGGUUGGGCUUGGAGCUAGGAUUUUUGUGAGUGCAAUGAACCAACUCCCGAGUCUCUAGGACGUUCCUAAAAAAAUUUGAUUUUUUUCCCAUAGGAAUGCAUGGGUUAGGGUUAGGGUUAGGGUUGGAGCUAGGGUUAGGGUUAGGGUUGGAGUUAGGGUUAGUGUUGGAGCUAGGGUUAGGGUUGGGCUUGGAGCUAGGAUUUUUCUGAGUGCACUGAACCAACUCCCGAGUCUCUAGGACAUUCCUAAAAAAAUUUGAUUUUUUCCCAUAGGAAUGCAUGGGUUAGGGUUAGGGUUAGGGUUGGAGCUAGGGUUAGGGUUAGGGUUAGGGUUGGAGUUAGGGUUAGUGUUGGAGCUAGGGUUAGGGUUGGGCUUGGAGCUAGGAUUUUUCUGAGUGCACUGAACCAACUCCCGAGUCUCUAGGACAUUCCUAAAAAAAAUUUGAUUUUUUCCCAUAGGAAUGCAUGGGUUAGGGUUAGGGUUAGGGUUAGGGUUGGCGCUAGGGUUAGGGUUAGGGUUAGGGUUGGAGUUAGGGUUAGUGUUGGAGCUAGGGUUAGGGUUGGGCUUGGAGCUAGGAUUUUUCUGAGUGCACUGAACCACCUCCCGAGUCUCUAGGACAUUCCUAAAAAAAUUUGAUUUUUUCCCAUAGGAAUGCAUGGGUUAGGGUUAGGGUUAGGGUUGGAGCUAGGGUUAGGGUUAGGGUUAGGGUUGGAGUUAGGGUUAGUGUUGGAGCUAGGGUUAGGGUUGGGCUUGGAGCUAGGAUUUUUCUGAGUGCACUGAACCAACUCCCGAGUCUCUAGGACAUUCCUAAAAAAAUUUGAUUUUUUCCCAUAGGAAUGCAUGGGUUAGGGUUAGGGUUAGGGUUGGAGCUAGGGUUAGGGUUAGGGUUAGGGUUGGAGUUAGGGUUAGUGUUGGAGCUAGGGUUAGGGUUGGGCUUGGAGCUAGGAUUUUUCUGAGUGCACUGAACCAACUCCCGAGUCUCUAGGACAUUCCUAAAAAAAUUUGAUUUUUUCCCAUAGGAAUGCAUGGGUUAGGUUUAUGGUUAGGGUUAGGGUUGGAGCUAGGGUUAGGGUUAGGGUUAGGGUUGGAGUUAGGGUUAGUGUUGGAGCUAGGGUUAGGGUUGGGCUUGGAGCUAGGAUUUUUCUGAGUGCACUGAACCAACUCCCGAGUCUCUAGGACAUUCCUAAAAAAAAUUGAUUUUUUCCCAUAGGAAUGCAUGGGUUAGGGUUAGGGUUAGGGUUGGAGCUAGGGUUAGGGUUAGGGUUAGGGUUGGAGUUAGGGUUAGUGUUGGAGCUAGGGUUAGGGUUGGGCUUGGAGCUAGGAUUUUUCUGAGUGCACUGAACCAACUCCCGAGUCUCUAGGACAUUCCUAAAAAAAUUUGAUUUUUUCCCAUAGGAAUGCAUGGGUUAGGUUUAUGGUUAGGGUUAGGGUUGGAGCUAGGGUUAGGGUUAGGGUUAGGGUUGGAGUUAGGGUUAGUGUUGGAGCUAGGGUUAGGGUUGGGCUUGGAGCUAGGAUUUUUCUGAGUGCAAUGAACCAACUCCCGAGUCUCUAGGACGUUCCUAAAAAAAUUUGAUUUUUUCCCAUAGGAAUGCAUGGGUUAGGGUUAGGGUUAGGGUUGGAGCUAGGGUUAGGGUUAGGGUUAGGGUUGGAGUUAGGGUUAGUGUUGGAGCUAGGGUUAGGGUUGGGCUUGGAGCUAGGAUUUUUGUGAGUGCAAUGAACCAACUCCCGAGUCUCUAGGACGUUCCUAAAAAAAUUUGAUUUUUUUCCCAUAGGAAUGCAUGGGUUAGGGUUAGGGUUAGGGUUGGAGCUAGGGUUAGGGUUAGGGUUGGAGUUAGGGUUAGUGUUGGAGCUAGGGUUAGGGUUGGGCUUGGAGCUAGGAUUUUUCUGAGUGCACUGAACCAACUCCCGAGUCUCUAGGACAUUCCUAAAAAAAUUUGAUUUUUUCCCAUAGGAAUGCAUGGGUUAGGGUUAGGGUUAGGGUUGGAGCUAGGGUUAGGGUUAGGGUUAGGGUUGGAGUUAGGGUUAGUGUUGGAGCUAGGGUUAGGGUUGGGCUUGGAGCUAGGAUUUUUCUGAGUGCACUGAACCAACUCCCGAGUCUCUAGGACAUUCCUAAAAAAAUUUGAUUUUUUCCCAUAGGAAUGCAUGGGUUAGGGUUAUGGUUAGGGUUAGGGUUGGCGCUAGGGUUAGGGUUAGGGUUAGGGUUGGAGUUAGGGUUAGUGUUGGAGCUAGGGUUAGGGUUGGGCUUGGAGCUAGGAUUUUUCUGAGUGCACUGAACCACCUCCCGAGUCUCUAGGACAUUCCUAAAAAAAUUUGAUUUUUUCCCAUAGGAAUGCAUGGGUUAGGGUUAUGGUUAGGGUUAGGGUUGGCGCUAGGGUUAGGGUUAGGGUUAGGGUUGGAGUUAGGGUUAGUGUUGGAGCUAGGGUUAGGGUUGGGCUUGGAGCUAGGAUUUUUCUGAGUGCACUGAACCACCUCCCGAGUCUCUAGGACAUUCCUAAAAAAAUUUGAUUUUUUCCCAUAGGAAUGCAUGGGUUAGGGUUAGGGUUAGGGUUGGAGCUAGGGUUAGGGUUAGGGUUAGGGUUGGAGUUAGGGUUAGUGUUGGAGCUAGGGUUAGGGUUGGGCUUGGAGCUAGGAUUUUUCUGAGUGCACUGAACCAACUCCCGAGUCUCUAGGACAUUCCUAAAAAAAUUUGAUUUUUUCCCAUAGGAAUGCAUGGGUUAGGGUUAGGGUUAGGGUUGGAGCUAGGGUUAGGGUUAGGGUUAGGGUUGGAGUUAGGGUUAGUGUUGGAGCUAGGGUUAGGGUUGGGCUUGGAGGUAGGAUUUUUCUGAGUGCACUGAACCAACUCCCGAGUCUCUAGGACAUUCCUAAAAAAAUUUGAUUUUUUCCCAUAGGAAUGCAUGGGUUAGGUUUAUGGUUAGGGUUAGGGUUGGAGCUAGGGUUAGGGUUAGGGUUAGGGUUGGAGUUAGGGUUAGUGUUGGAGCUAGGGUUAGGGUUGGGCUUGGAGCUAGGAUUUUUCUGAGUGCACUGAACCAACUCCCGAGUCUCUAGGACAUUCCUAAAAAAAAUUGAUUUUUUCCCAUAGGAAUGCAUGGGUUAGGGUUAUGGUUAGGGUUAGGGUUGGAGCUAGGGUUAGGGUUAGGGUUAGGGUUGGAGUUAGGGUUAGUGUUGGAGCUAGGGUUAGGGUUGGGCUUGGAGCUAGGAUUUGUCUGAGUGCACUGAACCAACUCCCGAGUCUCUAGGACAUUCCUAAAAAAACUUGAUUUUUUCCCAUAGGAAUGCAUGGGUUAGGGUUAUAGUUAGGGUUAGGGUUGGAGCUAGGGUUAGGGUUAUGGUUAGGGUUGGAGUUAGGGUUAGUGUUGGAGCUAGGGUUAGGGUUGGGCUUGGAGCUAGGAUUUUUCUGAGUGCAAUGAACCAACUCCCGAGUCUCUAGGACGUUCCUAAAAAAAUUUGAUUUUUUCCCAUAGGAAUGCAUGGGUUAGGGUUAGGGUUAGGGUUGGACCUAGGGUUAGGGUUAGGGUUAGGGUUAGGGUUGGAGUUAGGGUUAGUGUUGGAGCUAGGGUUAGGGUUGGGCUUGGAGCUAGGAUUUUUCUGAGUGCACUGAACCAACUCCCGAGUCUCUAGGACGUUCCUAAAAAAAUUUGAUUUUUUCCCAUAGGAAUGCAUGGGUUAGGGUUAUGGUUAGGGUUAGGGUUGGAGCUAGGGUUAGGGUUAGGGUUAGGGUUGGAGUUAGGGUUAGUGUUGGAGCUAGGGUUAGGGUUGGGCUUGGAGCUAGGAUUUUUCUGAGUGCAAUGAACCAACUCCCGAGUCUCUAGGACGUUCCUAAAAAAAUUUGAUUUUUUCCCAUAGGAAUGCAUGGGUUAGGGUUAUGGUUAGGGUUAGGGUUGGAGCUAGGGUUAGGGUUAGGGUUAGGGUUGGAGUUAGGGUUAGUGUUGGAGCUAGGGUUAGGGUUGGACUUGGAGCUAGGACUUUUCUGAGUGCAAUGAACCAACUCCCGAGUCUCUAGGACGUUCCUAAAAAAAUUUGAUUUUUUCCCAUAGGAAUGCAUGGGUUAGGGUUAGGGUUAGGGUUGGAGCUAGGGUUAGGGUUAGGGUUAGGGUUGGAGUUAGGGUUAGUGUUGGAGCUAGGGUUAGGGUUGGGCUUGGAGCUAGGAUUUUUCUGAGUGCACUGAACCAACUCCCGAGUCUCUAGGACAUUCCUAAAAAAAUUUGAUUUUUUCCCAUAGGAAUGCAUGGGUUAGGGUUAUGGUUAGGGUUAGGGUUGGAGCUAGGGUUAGGGUUAGGGUUAGGGUUGGAGUUAGGGUUAGUGUUGGAGCUAGGGUUAGGGUUGGGCUUGGAGCUAGGAUUUUUCUGAGUGCAAUGAACCAACUCCCGAGUCUCUAGGACGUUCCUAAAAAAAUUUGAUUUUUUCCCAUAGGAAUGCAUGGGUUAGGGUUAGGGUUAGGGUUGGAGCUAGGGUUAGUGUUGGAGCUAGGGUUAGGGUUGGGCUUGGAGCUAGGAUUUUUCUGAGUGCAAUGAACCAACUCCCGAGUCUCUAGGACGUUCCUAAAAAAAUUUGAUUUUUUUCCCAUAGGAAUGCAUGGGUUAGGGUUAGGGUUAGGGUUGGAGCUAGGGUUAGGGUUAGGGUUAGGGUUGGAGUUAGGGUUAGUGUUGGAGCUAGGGUUAGGGUUGGGCUUGGAGCUAGGAUUUUUCUGAGUGCAAUGAACCAACUCCCGAGUCUCUAGGACGUUCCUAAAAAAAUUUGAUUUUUUCCCAUAGGAAUGCAUGGGUUAGGGUUAGGGUUAGGGUUGGAGCUAGGGUUAGGGUUAGGGUUAGGGUUGGAGUUAGGGUUAGUGUUGGAGCUAGGGUUAGGGUUGGGCUUGGAGCUAGGAUUUUUCUGAGUGCACUGAACCAACUCCCGAGUCUCUAGGACAUUCCUAAAAAAAUUUGAUUUUUUCCCAUAGGAAUGCAUGGGUUAGGGUUAUGGUUAGGGUUAGGGUUGGAGCUAGGGUUAGGGUUAGGGUUAGGGUUAGGGUUGGAGUUAGGGUUAGUGUUGGAGCUAGGGUUAGGGUUGGGCUUGGAGCUAGGAUUUUUCUGAGUGCAAUGAACCAACUCCCGAGUCUCUAGGACGUUCCUAAAAAAAUUUGAUUUUUUCCCAUAGGAAUGCAUGGGUUAGGGUUAGGGUUAGGGUUGGAGCUAGGGUUAGUGUUGGAGCUAGGGUUAGGGUUGGGCUUGGAGCUAGGAUUUUUCUGAGUGCAAUGAACCAACUCCCGAGUCUCUAGGACGUUCCUAAAAAAAUUUGAUUUUUUUCCCAUAGGAAUGCAUGGGUUAGGGUUAGGGUUAGGGUUGGAGCUAGGGUUAGGGUUAGGGUUAGGGUUGGAGUUAGGGUUAGUGUUGGAGCUAGGGUUAGGGUUGGGCUUGGAGCUAGGAUUUUUCUGAGUGCACUGAACCAACUCCCGAGUCUCUAGGACAUUCCUAAAAAAUUUUGAUUUUUUCCCAUAGGAAUGCAUGGGUUAGGGUUAGGGUUAGGGUUGGAGCUAGGGUUAGGGUUAGGGUUAGGGUUGGAGUUAGGGUUAGUGUUGGAGCUAGGGUUAGGGUUGGGCUUGGAGCUAGGAUUUUUCUGAGUGCACUGAACCAACUCCCGAGUCUCUAGGACAUUCCUAAAAAAAUUUGAUUUUUUCCCAUAGGAAUGCAUGGGUUAGGGUUAUGGUUAGGGUUAGGGUUGGAGCUAGGGUUAGGGUUAGGGUUAGGGUUGGAGUUAGGGUUAGUGUUGGAGCUAGGGUUAGGGUUGGGCUUGGAGCUAGGAUUUGUCUGAGUGCACUGAACCAACUCCCGAGUCUCUAGGACAUUCCUAAAAAAAUUUGAUUUUUUCCCAUAGGAAUGCAUGGGUUAGGGUUAUAGUUAGGGUUAGGGUUGGAGCUAGGGUUAGGGUUAUGGUUAGGGUUGGUGUUAGGGUUAGUGUUGGAGCUAGGGUUAGGGUUGGGCUUGGAGUUAGGAUUUUUCUGAGUGCAAUGAACCAACUCCCGAGUCUCUAGGACGUUCCUAAAAAAAAUUGAUUUUUUCCCAUAGGAAUGCAUGGGUUAGGGUUAGGGUUAGGGUUGGAGCUAGGGUUAGGGUUAGGGUUAGGGUUGGAGUUAGGGUUAGUGUUGGAGCUAGGUUUAGGGUUGGGCUUGGAGCUAGGAUUUUUCUGAGUGCACUGAACCAACUCCCGAGUCUCUAGGACAUUCCUAAAAAAAUUUGAUUUUUUCCCAUAGGAAUGCAUGGGUUAGGGUUAUGGUUAGGGUUAGGGUUGGAGCUAGGGUUAGGGUUAGGGUUAGGGUUGGAGUUAGGGUUAGUGUUGGAGCUAGGGUUAGGGUUGGGCUUGGAGCUAGGAUUUUUCUGAGUGCAAUGAACCAACUCCCGAGUCUCUAGGACGUUCCUAAAAAAAUUUGAUUUUUUCCCAUAGGAAUGCAUGGGUUAGGAUUAGGGUUAGGGUUGGAGCUAGGGUUAGGGUUAGGGUUAGGGUUGGAGUUAGGGUUAGUGUUGGAGCUAGGGUUAGGGUUGGGCUUGGAGCUAGGAUUUUUCUGAGUGCAAAGAACCAACUCCCGAGUCUCUAGGACGUUCCUAAAAAAAUUUGAUUUUUUCCCAUAGGAAUGCAUGGGUUAGGGUUAUGGUUAGGGUUAGGGUUGGAGCUAGGGUUAGGGUUAGGGUUAGGGUUGGAGUUAGGGUUAGUGUUGGAGCUAGGGUUAGGGUUGGGCUUGGAGCUAGGAUUUUUCUGAGUGCACUGAACCAACUCCCGAGUCUCUAGGACGUUCCUAAAAAAAUUUGAUUUUUUCCCAUAGGAAUGCAUGGGUUAGGGUUAUGGUUAGGGUUAGGGUUGGAGCUAGGGUUAGGGUUAGGGUUAGGGUUGGAGUUAGGGUUAGUGUUGGAGCUAGGGUUAGGGUUGGACUUGGAGCUAGGACUUUUCUGAGUGCAAUGAACCAACUCCCGAGUCUCUAGGACGUUCCUAAAAAAAUUUGAUUUUUUCCCAUAGGAAUGCAUGGGUUAGGGUUAGGGUUAGGGUUGGAGCUAGGGUUAGGGUUAGGGUUAGGGUUGGAGUUAGGGUUAGUGUUGGAGCUAGGCUUAGGGUUGGGCUUGGAGCUAGGAUUUUUCUGAGUGCACUGAACCAACUCCCGAGUCUCUAGGACAUUCCUAAAAAAAUUUGAUUUUUUCCCAUAGGAAUGCAUGGGUUAGGGUUAUGGUUAGGGUUAGGGUUGGAGCUAGGGUUAGGGUUAGGGUUAGGGUUGGAGUUAGGGUUAGUGUUGGAGCUAGGGUUAGGGUUGGGCUUGGAGCUAGGAUUUUUCUGAGUGCACUGAACCAACUCCCGAGUCUCUAGGACAUUCCUAAAAAAAUUGAUUUUUUCCCAUAGGAAUGCAUGGGUUAGGGUUAUGGUUAGGGUUAGGGUUGGAGCUAGGGUUAGGGUUAGGGUUAGGGUUGGAGUUAGGGUUAGUGUUGGAGCUAGGGUUAGGGUUGGGCUUGGAGCUAGGAUUUUUCUGAGUGCAAUGAACCAACUCCCGAGUCUCUAGGACGUUCCUAAAAAAAUUUGAUUUUUUCCCAUAGGAAUGCAUGGGUUAGGGUUAGGGUUAGGGUUGGAGCUAGGGUUAGGGUUAGGGUUAGGGUUGGAGUUAGGGUUAGUGUUGGAGCUAGGGUUAGGGUUGGGCUUGGAGCUAGGAUUUUUCUGAGUGCACUGAACCAACUCCCGAGUCUCUAGGACAUUCCUAAAAAAAUUUGAUUUUUUCCCAUAGGAAUGCAUGGGUUAGGGUUAGGGUUAGGGUUGGAGCUAGGGUUAGGGUUAGGGUUAGGGUUGGAGUUAGGGUUAGUGUUGGAGCUAGGGUUAGGGUUGGGCUUGGAGCUAGGAUUUUUCUGAGUGCACUGAACCAACUCCCGAGUCUCUAGGACAUUCCUAAAAAAAUUGAUUUUUUCCCAUAGGAAUGCAUGGGUUAGGGUUAGGGUUAGGGUUGGAGCUAGGGUUAGGGUUAGGGUUAGGGUUGGAGUUAGGGUUAGUGUUGGAGCUAGGGUUAGGGUUGGGCUUGGAGCUAGGAUUUUUCUGAGUGCACUGAACCAACUCCCGAGUCUCUAGGACAUUCCUAAAAAAAUUUGAUUUUUUCCCAUAGGAAUGCAUGGGUUAGGUUUAUGGUUAGGAUUAGGGUUGGAGCUAGGGUUAGGGUAAGGGUUAGGGUUGGAGUUAGGGUUAGUGUUGGAGCUAGGGUUAGGGUUGGGCUUGGAGCUAGGAUUUUUCUGAGUGCAAUGAACCAACUCCCGAGUCUCUAGGACGUUCCUAAAAAAAUUUGAUUUUUUCCCAUAGGAAUGCAUGGGUUAGGGUUAGGGUUAGGGUUGGAGCUAGGGUUAGGGUUAGGGUUAGGGUUGGAGUUAGGGUUAGUGUUGGAGCUAGGGUUAGGGUUGGGCUUGGAGCUAGGAUUUUUGUGAGUGCAAUGAACCAACUCCCGAGUCUCUAGGACGUUCCUAAAAAAAUUUGAUUUUUUUCCCAUAGGAAUGCAUGGGUUAGGGUUAGGGUUAGGGUUGGAGCUAGGGUUAGGGUUAGGGUUAGGGUUGGAGUUAGGGUUAGUGUUGGAGCUAGGGUUAGGGUUGGGCUUGGAGCUAGGAUUUUUCUGAGUGCACUGAACCAACUCCCGAGUCUCUAGGACAUUCCUAAAAAAAUUUGAUUUUUUCCCAUAGGAAUGCAUGGGUUAGGGUUAGGGUUGGAGCUAGGGUUAGGGUUAGGGUUAGGGUUGGAGUUAGGGUUAGUGUUGGAGCUAGGGUUAGGGUUGGGCUUGGAGCUAGGAUUUUUCUGAGUGCACUGAACCAACUCCCGAGUCUCUAGGACGUUCCUAAAAAAAUUUGAUUUUUUCCCAUAGGAAUGCAUGGGUUAGGGUUAUGGUUAGGGUUAGGGUUGGAGCUAGGGUUAGGGUUAGGGUUAGGGUUGGAGUUAGGGUUAGUGUUGGAGCUAGGGUUAGGGUUGGACUUGGAGCUAGGACUUUUCUGAGUGCAAUGAACCAACUCCCGAGUCUCUAGGACGUUCCUAAAAAAAUUUGAUUUUUUCCCAUAGGAAUGCAUGGGUUAGGGUUAGGGUUAGGGUUGGAGCUAGGGUUAGGGUUAGGGUUAGGGUUGGAGUUAGGGUUAGUGUUGGAGCUAGGCUUAGGGUUGGGCUUGGAGCUAGGAUUUUUCUGAGUGCACUGAACCAACUCCCGAGUCUCUAGGACAUUCCUAAAAAAAUUUGAUUUUUUCCCAUAGGAAUGCAUGGGUUAGGGUUAUGGUUAGGGUUAGGGUUGGAGCUAGGGUUAGGGUUAGGGUUAGGGUUGGAGUUAGGGUUAGUGUUGGAGCUAGGGUUAGGGUUGGGCUUGGAGCUAGGAUUUUUCUGAGUGCAAUGAACCAACUCCCGAGUCUCUAGGACGUUCCUAAAAAAAUUUGAUUUUUUCCCAUAGGAAUGCAUGGGUUAGGGUUAGGGUUAGGGUUGGAGCUAGGGUUAGGGUUAGGGUUAGGGUUGGAGUUAGGGUUAGUGUUGGAGCUAGGGUUAGGGUUGGGCUUGGAGCUAGGAUUUUUCUGAGUGCAAUGAACCAACUCCCGAGUCUCUAGGACGUUCCUAAAAAAAUUUGAUUUUUUUCCCAUAGGAAUGCAUGGGUUAGGGUUAGGGUUAGGGUUGGAGCUAGGGUUAGGGUUAGGGUUAGGGUUGGAGUUAGGGUUAGUGUUGGAGCUAGGGUUAGGGUUGGGCUUGGAGCUAGGAUUUUUCUGAGUGCACUGAACCAACUCCCGAGUCUCUAGGACAUUCCUAAAAAAAUUUGAUUUUUUCCCAUAGGAAUGCAUGGGUUAGGGUUAGGGUUAGGGUUGGAGCUAGGGUUAGGGUUAGGGUUAGGGUUGGAGUUAGGGUUAGUGUUGGAGCUAGGGUUAGGGUUGGGCUUGGAGCUAGGAUUUUUCUGAGUGCACUGAACCAACUCCGGAGUCUCUAGGACAUUCCUAAAAAAAUUUGAUUUUUUCCCAUAGGAAUGCAUGGGUUAGGUUUAUGGUUAGGGUUAGGGUUGGAGCUAGGGUUAGGGUUAGGGUUCGGGUUGGAGUUAGGGUUAGUGUUGGAGCUAGGGUUAGGGUUGGGCUUGGAGCUAGGAUUUUUCUGAGUGCAAUGAACCAACUCCCGAGUCUCUAGGACAUUCCUGAAAAAAUUGGAUUUUUUUCCCAUAGGAAUGCAUGGGUUAGGGUUAGGGUUAGGGUUGGAGCUAGGGUUAGGGUUAGGGUUAGGGUUGGAGUUAGGGUUAGUGUUGGAGCUAGGGUUAGGGUUGGGCUUGGAGCUAGGAUUUUUGUGAGUGCAAUGAACCAACUCCCGAGUCUCUAGGACGUUCCUAAAAAAAUUUGAUUUUUUUCCCAUAGGAAUGCAUGGGUUAGGGUUAGGUUAGGGUUGGAGCUAGGGUUAGGGUUAGGGUUAGGGUUGGAGUUAGGGUUAGUGUUGGAGCUAGGGUUAGGGUUGGGCUUGGAGCUAGGAUUUUUCUGAGUGCACUGAACCAACUCCCGAGUCUCUAGGACAUUCCUAAAAAAAUUUGAUUUUUUCCAUAGGAAUGCAUGGGUUAGGGUUAGGGUUAGGGUUGGAGCUAGGGUUAGGGUUAGGGUUAGGGUUGGAGUUAGGGUUAGUGUUGGAGCUAGGGUUAGGGUUGGGCUUGGAGCUAGGAUUUUUCUGAGUGCACUGAACCAACUCCUGAGUCUCUAGGACAUUCCUAAAAAAAAUUGAUUUUUUUCCCAUAGGAAUGCAUGGGUUAGGGUUAUGGUUAGGGUUAGGGUUGGAGCUAGGGUUAGGGUUAGGGUUAGGGUUGGAGUUAGGGUUAGUGUUGGAGCUAGGGUUAGGGUUGGGCUUGGAGCUAGGAUUUUUCUGAGUGCACUGAACCAACUCCCGAGUCUCUAGGACAUUCCUAAAAAAAUUUGAUUUUUUCCCAUAGGAAUGCAUGGGUUAGGGUUAUGGUUAGGGUUAGGGUUGGAGCUAGGGUUAGGGUUAGGGUUGGAGUUAGGGUUAGUGUUGGAGCUAGGGUUAGGGUUGGGCUUGGAGCUAGGAUUUUUCUGAGUGCACUGAACCAACUCCUGAGUCUCUAGGACAUUCCUAAAAAAAAUUGAUUUUUUUCCCAUAGGAAUGCAUGGGUUAGGGUUAUGGUUAGGGUUAGGGUUGGAGCUAGGGUUAGGGUUAGGGUUAGGGUUGGAGUUAGGGUUAGUGUUGGAGCUAGGGUUAGGGUUGGGCUUGGAGCUAGGAUUUUUCUGAGUGCACUGAACCAACUCCCGAGUCUCUAGGACAUUCCUAAAAAAAUUUGAUUUUUUCCCAUAGGAAUGCAUGGGUUAGGUUUAUGGUUAGGGUUAGGGUUGGAGCUAGGGUUAGGUUUAGGGUUAGGGUUGGAGUUAGGGUUAGUGUUGGAGCUAGGGUUAGGGUUGGGCUUGGAGCUAGGAUUUUUGUGAGUGCAAUGAACCAACUCCCGAGUCUCUAGGACGUUCCUAAAAAAAUUUGAUUUUUUCCCAUAGGAAUGCAUGGGUUAGGGUUAGGGUUAGGGUUGGAGCUAGGGUUAGGGUUAGGGUUAGGGUUGGAGUUAGGGUUAGUGUUGGAGCUAGGCUUAGGGUUGGGCUUGGAGCUAGGAUUUUUCUGAGUGCACUGAACCAACUCCCGAGUCUCUAGGACAUUCCUAAAAAAAUUUGAUUUUUUCCCAUAGGAAUGCAUGGGUUAGGGUUAUGGUUAGGGUUAGGGUUGGAGCUAGGGUUAGGGUUAGGGUUAGGGUUGGAGUUAGGGUUAGUGUUGGAGCUAGGGUUAGGGUUGGGCUUGGAGCUAGGAUUUUUCUGAGUGCACUGAACCAACUCCCGAGUCUCUAGGACAUUCCUAAAAAAAAUUGAUUUUUUCCCAUAGGAAUGCAUGGGUUAGUGUUAUGGUUAGGGUUGGAGCUAGGGUUAGGGUUAGGGUUGGAGUUAGGGUUAGUGUUGGAGCUAGGGUUAGGGUUGGGCUUGGAGCUAGGAUUUUUCUGAGUGCAAUGAACCAACUCCCGAGUCUCUAGGACGUUCCUAAAAAAAUUUGAUUUUUUCCCAUAGGAAUGCAUGGGUUAGGGUUAGGGUUAGGGUUGGAGCUAGGGUUAGGGUUAGGGUUAGGGUUGGAGUUAGGGUUAGUGUUGGAGCUAGGGUUAGGGUUGGGCUUGGAGCUAGGAUUUUUCUGAGUGCACUGAACCAACUCCCGAGUCUCUAGGACAUUCCUAAAAAAAUUUGAUUUUUUCCCAUAGGAAUGCAUGGGUUAGGGUUAGGGUUAGGGUUGGAGCUAGGGUUAGGGUUAGGGUUAGGGUUGGAGUUAGGGUUAGUGUUGGAGCUAGGGUUAGGGUUGGGCUUGGAGCUAGGAUUUUUCUGAGUGCACUGAACCAACUCCUGAGUCUCUAGGACAUUCCUAAAAAAAAUUGAUUUUUUUCCCAUAGGAAUGCAUGGGUUAGGGUUAUGGUUAGGGUUAGGGUUGGAGCUAGGGUUAGGGUUAGGGUUAGGGUUGGAGUUAGGGUUAGUGUUGGAGCUAGGGUUAGGGUUGGGCUUGGAGCUAGGAUUUUUCUGAGUGCACUGAACCAACUCCCGAGUCUCUAGGACAUUCCUAAAAAAAUUUGAUUUUUUCCCAUAGGAAUGCAUGGGUUAGGUUUAUGGUUAGGUUUAGGGUUGGAGCUAGGGUUAGGGUUAGGGUUAGGGUUGGAGUUAGGGUUAGUGUUGGAGCUAGGGUUAGGGUUGGGCUUGGAGCUAGGAUUUUUCUGAGUGCACUGAACCAACUCCAGAGUCUCUAGGACAUUCCUAAAAAAAUUUGAUUUUUUCCCAUAGGAAUGCAUGGGUUAGGGUUAUGGUUAGGGUUAGGGUUGGAGCUAGGGUUAGGGUUAGGGUUAGGGUUGGAGUUAGGGUUAGUGUUGGAGCUAGGGUUAGGGUUGGGCUUGGAGCUAGGAUUUUUCUGAGUGCACUGAACCAACUCCCGAGUCUCUAGGACAUUCCUAAAAAAAUUUAAUUUUUUCCCAUAGGAAUGCAUGGGUUAGGGUUAUGGUUAGGGUUAGGGUUGGAGCUAGGGUUAGGGUUAGGGUUAGGGUUGGAGUUAGGGUUAGUGUUGGAGCUAGGGUUAGGGUUGGGCUUGGAGCUAGGAUUUUUCUGAGUGUAAUGAACCAACUCCGGAGUCUCUAGGACGUUCCUAAAAAAAAUUGAUUUUUUCCCAUAGGAAUGCAUGGGUUAGGGUUAGGGUUAGGGUUGGAGCUAGGGUUAGGGUUAGGGUUAGGGUUGGAGUUAGGGUUAGUGUUGGAGCUAGGGUUAGGGUUGGGCUUGGAGCUAGGAUUUUUCUGAGUGCACUGAACCAACUCCCGAGUCUCUAGGACAUUCCUAAAAAAUUUUGAUUUUUUCCCAUAGGAAUGCAUGGGUUAGGGUUAGGGUUAGGGUUGGAGCUAGGGUUAGGGUUAGGGUUAGGGUUGGAGUUAGGGUUAGUGUUGGAGCUAGGGUUAGGGUUGGGCUUGGAGCUAGGAUUUUUCUGAGUGCACUGAACCAACUCCCGAGUCUCUAGGACAUUCCUAAAAAAAAUUGAUUUUUUCCCAUAGGAAUGCAUGGGUUAGGGUUAUGGUUAGGGUUAGGGUUGGAGCUAGGGUUAGGGUUAGGGUUAGGGUUGGAGUUAGGGUUAGUGUUGGAGCUAGGGUUAGGGUUGGGCUUGGAGCUAGGAUUUGUCUGAGUGCACUGAACCAACUCCCGAGUCUCUAGGACAUUCCUAAAAAAAUUUGAUUUUUUCCCAUAGGAAUGCAUGGGUUAGGGUUAUAGUUAGGGUUAGGGUUGGAGCUAGGGUUAGGGUUAUGGUUAGGGUUGGAGUUAGGGUUAGUGUUGGAGCUAGGGUUAGGGUUGGGCUUGGAGUUAGGAUUUUUCUGAGUGCAAUGAACCAACUCCCGAGUCUCUAGGACGUUCCUAAAAAAAAUUGAUUUUUUCCCAUAGGAAUGCAUGGGUUAGGGUUAGGGUUAGGGUUGGAGCUAGGGUUAGGGUUAGGGUUAGGGUUGGAGUUAGGGUUAGUGUUGGAGCUAGGUUUAGGGUUGGGCUUGGAGCUAGGAUUUUUCUGAGUGCACUGAACCAACCCCAGAGUCUCUAGGACAUUCCUAAAAAAAUUUGAUUUUUUCCCAUAGGAAUGCAUGGGUUAGGGUUAUGGUUAGGGUUAGGGUUGGAGCUAGGGUUAGGGUUAGGGUUAGGGUUGGAGUUAGGGUUAGUGUUGGAGCUAGGGUUAGGGUUGGGCUUGGAGCUUGGAUUUUUCUGAGUGCACUGAACCAACUCCCGAGUCUCUAGGACAUUCCUAAAAAAAUUUGAUUUUUUCCCAUAGGAAUGCAUGGGUUAGGGUUAUAGUUAGGGUUAGGGUUGGAGCUAGGGUUAGGGUUAUGGUUAGGGUUGGAGUUAGGGUUAGUGUUGGAGCUAGGGUUAGGGUUGGGCUUGGAGUUAGGAUUUUUCUGAGUGCACUGAACCAACUCCCGAGUCUCUAGGACGUUCCUAAAAAAAUUGAUUUUUUCCCAUAGGAAUGCAUGGGUUAGGGUUAGGGUUAGGGUUGGAGCUAGGGUUAGGGUUAGGGUUAGGGUUGGAGUUAGGGUUAGUGUUGGAGCUAGGUUUAGGGUUGGGCUUGGAGCUAGGAUUUUUCUGAGUGCACUGAACCAACUCCAGAGUCUCUAGGACAUUCCUAAAAAAAUUUGAUUUUUUCCCAUAGGAAUGCAUGGGUUAGGGUUAUGGUUAGGGUUAGGGUUGGAGCUAGGGUUAGGGUUAGGGUUAGGGUUGGAGUUAGGGUUAGUGUUGGAGCUAGGGUUAGGGUUGGGCUUGGAGCUAGGAUUUUUCUGAGUGCAAUGAACCAACUCCCGAGUCUCUAGGACGUUCCUAAAAAAAUUUGAUUUUUUCCCAUAGGAAUGCAUGGGUUAGGAUUAGGGUUAGGGUUGGAGCUAGGGUUAGGGUUAGGGUUAGGGUUGGAGUUAGGGUUAGUGUUGGAGCUAGGGUUAGGGUUGGGCUUGGAGCUAGGAUUUUUCUGAGUGCAAAGAACCAACUCCCGAGUCUCUAGGACGUUCCUAAAAAAAUUUGAUUUUUUCCCAUAGGAAUGCAUGGGUUAGGGUUAUGGUUAGGGUUAGGGUUGGAGCUAGGGUUAGGGUUAGGGUUAGGGUUGGAGCUAGGGUUAGUGUUGGAGCUAGGGUUAGGGUUGGGCUUGGAGUUAGGAUUUUUCUGAGUGCAAUGAACCAACUCCCGAGUCUCUAGGACGUUCCUAAAAAAAUUUGAUUUUUUCCCAUAGGAAUGCAUGGGUUAGGGUUAUGGUUAGGGUUAGGGUUGGAGCUAGGGUUAGGGUUAGGGUUAGGGUUGGAGUUAGGGUUAGUGUUGGAGCUAGGGUUAGGGUUGGACUUGGAGCUAGGACUUUUCUGAGUGCAAUGAACCAACUCCCGAGUCUCUAGGACGUUCCUAAAAAAAAUUGAUUUUUUCCCAUAGGAAUGCAUGGGUUAGGGUUAGGGUUAGGGUUGGAGCUAGGGUUAGGGUUAGGGUUAGGGUUGGAGUUAGGGUUAGUGUUGGAGCUAGGGUUAGGGUUGGGCUUGGAGCUAGGAUUUUUCUGAGUGCACUGAACCAACUCCCGAGUCUCUAGGACGUUCCUAAAAAAAUUUGAUUUUUUUCCCAUAGGAAUGCAUGGGUUAGGGUUAGGGUUAGGGUUGGAGCUAGGGUUAGGGUUAGGGUUAGGGUUGGAGUUAGGGUUAGUGUUGGAGCUAGGGUUAGGGUUGGGCUUGGAGCUAGGAUUUUUCUGAGUGCACUGAACCAACUCCCGAGUCUCUAGGACAUUCCUAAAAAAUUUUGAUUUUUUCCCAUAGGAAUGCAUGGGUUAGGGUUAUAGUUAGGGUUAGGGUUGGAGCUAGGGUUAGGGUUAGGGUUAGGGUUGGAGUUAGGGUUAGUGUUGGAGCUAGGGUUAGGGUUGGGCUUGGAGCUAGGAUUUUUCUGAGUGCACUGAACCAACUCCCGAGUCUCUAGGACAUUCCUAAAAAAUUGAUUUUUUUCCCAUAGGAAUGCAUGGGUUAGGGUUAUGGUUAGGGUUAGGGUUGGAGCUAGGGUUAGGGUUAGGGUUAGGGUUGGAGUUAGGGUUAGUGUUGGAGCUAGGGUUAGGGUUGGGCUUGGAGUUAGGAUUUGUCUGAGUGCACUGAACCAACUCCCGAGUCUCUAGGACAUUCCUAAAAAAAUUUGAUUUUUUCCCAUAGGAAUGCAUGGGUUAGGGUUAUAGUUAGGGUUAGGGUUGGAGCUAGGGUUAGGGUUAUGGUUAGGGUUGGAGUUAGGGUUAGUGUUGGAGCUAGGGUUAGGGUUGGGCUUGGAGCUAGGAUUUUUCUGAGUGCAAUGAACCAACUCCCGAGUCUCUAGGACGUUCCUAAAAAUAUUUGAUUUUUUCCCAUAGGAAUGCAUGGGUUAGGGUUAGGGUUAGGGUUGGAGCUAGGGUUAGGGUUAGGGUUAGGGUUGGAGUUAGGGUUAGUGUUGGAGCUAGGGUAAGGGUUGGGCUUGGAGCUAGGAUUUUUCUGAGUGCACUGAACCAACUCCCGAGUCUCUAGGACAUUUCUAAAAAAAAUUGAUUUUUUCCCAUAGGAAUGCAUGGGUUAGGGUUAUGGUUAGGGUUAGGGUUGGAGCUAGGGUUAGGGUUAGGGUUAGGGUUGGAGUUAGGGUUAGGGUUGCAGCUAGGGUUAGGGUUGGGCUUGGAGCUAGGAUUUUUCUGAGUGCACUGAACCAACUCCCGAGUCUCUAGGACAUUCCUAAAAAAAUUUGAUUUUUUCCCAUAGGAAUGCAUGGGUUAGGUUUAUGGUUAGGGUUAGGGUUGGAGCUAGGGUUAGGGUUAGGGUUAGGGUUGGAGUUAGGGUUAGUGUUGGAGCUAGGGUUAGGGUUGGGCUUGGAGUUAGGAUUUUUCUGAGUGCAAUGAACCAACUCCCGAGUCUCUAGGACGUUCCUAAAAAAAUUUGAUUUUUUCCCAUAGGAAUGCAUGGGUUAGGGUUAGGGUUAGGGUUGGAGCUAGGGUUAGGGUUAGGGUUAGGGUUGGAGUUAGGGUUAGUGUUGGAGCUAGGUUUAGGGUUGGGCUUGGAGCUAGGAUUUUUCUGAGUGCACUGAACCAACUCCCGAGUCUCUAGGACAUUCCUAAAAAAAUUUGAUUUUUUCCCAUAGGAAUGCAUGGGUUAGGGUUAUGGUUAGGGUUAGGGUUGGCGCUAGGGUUAGGGUUAGGGUUAGGGUUGGAGUUAGGGUUAGUGUUGGAGCUAGGGUUAGGGUUGGGCUUGGAGCUAGGAUUUUUCUGAGUGCAAUGAACCAACUCCCGAGUCUCUAGGACGUUCCUAAAAAAAUUUGAUUUUUUCCCAUAGGAAUGCAUGGGUUAGGGUUAGGGUUAGGGUUGGAGCUAGGGUUAGGGUUAGGGUUAGGGUUGGAGUUAGGGUUAGUGUUGAAGCUAGGGUUAGGGUUGGGCUUGGAGCUAGGAUUUUUCUGAGUGCAAAGAACCAACUCCCGAGUCUCUAGGACGUUCCUAAAAAAAUUUGAUUUUUUCCCAUAGGAAUGCAUGGGUUAGGGUUAUGGUUAGGGUUAGGGUUGGAGCUAGGGUUAGGGUUAGGGUUAGGGUUGGAGUUAGGGUUAGUGUUGGAGCUAGGGUUAGGGUUGGGCUUGGAGCUAGGAUUUUUCUGAGUGCAAUGAACCAACUCCCGAGUCUCUAGGACGUUCCUAAAAAAAUUUGAUUUUUUCCCAUAGGAAUGCAUGGGUUAGGGUUAUGGUUAGGGUUAGGGUUGGAGCUAGGGUUAGGGUUAGGGUUAGGGUUGGAGUUAGGGUUAGUGUUGGAGCUAGGGUUAGGGUUGGACUUGGAGCUAGGACUUUUCUGAGUGCAAUGAACCAACUCCCGAGUCUCUAGGACGUUCCUAAAAAAAUUUGAUUUUUUCCCAUAGGAAUGCAUGGGUUAGGGUUAGGGUUAGGGUUGGAGCUAGGGUUAGGGUUAGGGUUAGGGUUGGAGUUAGGGUUAGUGUUGGAGCUAGGGUUAGGGUUGGGCUUGGAGCUAGGAUUUUUCUGAGUGCACUGAACCAACUCCCGAGUCUCUAGGACAUUCCUAAAAAAAUUUGAUUUUUUCCCAUAGGAAUGCAUGGGUUAGGGUUAUGGUUAGGGUUAGGGUUGGAGCUAGGGUUAGGGUUAGGGUUAGGGUUGGAGUUAGGGUUAGUGUUGGAGCUAGGGUUAGGGUUGGGCUUGGAGCUAGGAUUUUUCUGAGUGCAAUGAACCAACUCCCGAGUCUCUAGGACGUUCCAAAAAAAUUUGAUUUUUUCCCAUAGGAAUGCAUGGGUUAGGGUUAGGGUUAGGGUUAGAGCUAGGGUUAGGGUUAGGGUUAGGGUUGGAGUUAGGGUUAGUGUUGGAGCUAGGGUUAGGGUUGGGCUUGGAGCUAGGAUUUUUCUGAGUGCACUGAACCAACUCCCGAGUCUCUAGGACAUUCCUAAAAAAAUUUGAUUUUUUUCCCAUAGGAAUGCAUGGGUUAGGGUUAUGGUUAGGGUUAGGGUUGGAGCUAGGGUUAGGGUUAGGGUUAGGGUUGGAGUUAGGGUUAGUGUUGGAGCUAGGGUUAGGGUUGGGCUUGGAGCUAGGAUUUUUCUGAGUGCAAUGAACCAACUCCCGAGUCUCUAGGACGUUCCUAAAAAAAUUUGAUUUUUUCCCAUAGGAAUGCAUGGGUUAGGGUUAUGGUUAGGGUUAGGGUUGGAGCUAGGGUUAGGGUUAGGGUUAGGGUUGGAGUUAGGGUUAGUGUUGGAGCUAGGGUUAGGGUUGGGCUUGGAGCUAGGAUUUUUCUGAGUGCAAUGAACCAACUCCCGAGUCUCUAGGACGUUCCUAAAAAAAUUUGAUUUUUUCCCAUAGGAAUGCAUGGGUUAGGGUUAUGGUUAGGGUUAGGGUUGGAGCUAGGGUUAGGGUUAGGGUUAGGGUUGGAGUUAGGGUUAGUGUUGGAGCUAGGGUUAGGGUUGGACUUGGAGCUAGGACUUUUCUGAGUGCAAUGAACCAACUCCCGAGUCUCUAGGACGUUCCUAAAAAAAUUUGAUUUUUUCCCAUAGGAAUGCAUGGGUUAGGGUUAGGGUUAGGGUUGGAGCUAGGGUUAGGGUUAGGGUUAGGGUUGGAGUUAGGGUUAGUGUUGGAGCUAGGGUUAGGGUUGGGCUUGGAGCUAGGAUUUUUCUGAGUGCACUGAACCAACUCCCGAGUCUCUAGGACAUUCCUAAAAAAAUUUGAUUUUUUCCCAUAGGAAUGCAUGGGUUAGGGUUAUGGUUAGGGUUAGGGUUGGAGCUAGGGUUAGGGUUAGGGUUAGGGUUGGAGUUAGGGUUAGUGUUGGAGCUAGGGUUAGGGUUGGGCUUGGAGCUAGGAUUUUUCUGAGUGCACUGAACCAACUCCUGAGUCUCUAGGACAUUCCUAAAAAAAAUUGAUUUUUUUCCCAUAGGAAUGCAUGGGUUAGGGUUAUGGUUAGGGUUAGGGUUGGAGCUAGGGUUAGGGUUAGGGUUAGGGUUGGAGUUAGGGUUAGUGUUGGAGCUAGGGUUAGGGUUGGGCUUGGAGCUAGGAUUUUUCUGAGUGCACUGAACCAACUCCCGAGUCUCUAGGACAUUCCUAAAAAAAUUUGAUUUUUUCCCAUAGGAAUGCAUGGGUUAGGUUUAUGGUUAGGGUUAGGGUUGGAGCUAGGGUUAGGGUUAGGGUUAGGGUUGGAGUUAGGGUUAGUGUUGGAGCUAGGGUUAGGGUUGGGCUUGGAGCUAGGAUUUUUCUGAGUGCAAUGAACCAACUCCCGCGUCUCUAGGACGUUCCUAAAAAAAUUUGAUUUUUUUCCCAUAGGAAUGCAUGGGUUAGGGUUAGGGUUAGGGUUGGAGCUAGGGUUAGGGUUAGGGUUAGGGUUGGAGUUAGGGUUAGUGUUGGAGCUAGGGUUAGGGUUGGGCUUGGAGCUAGGAUUUUUCUGAGUGCACUGAACCAACUCCCGAGUCUCUAGGACAUUCCUAAAAAAUUUUGAUUUUUUCCCAUAGGAAUGCAUGGGUUAGGGUUAGGGUUGGAGCUAGGGUUAGGGUUAGGGUUAGGGUUGGGGUUAGGGUUAGUGUUGGAGCUAGGGUUAGGGUUGGGCUUGGAGCUAGGAUUUUUCUGAGUGCACUGAACCAACUCCCGAGUCUCUAGGACAUUCCUAAAAAAAAUUGAUUUUUUUCCCAUAGGAAUGCAUGGGUUAGGGUUAUGGUUAGGGUUAGGGUUGGAGCUAGGGUUAGGGUUAGGGUUAGGGUUGGAGUUAGGGUUAGUGUUGGAGCUAGGGUUAGGGUUGGGCUUGGAGCUAGGAUUUUUCUGAGUGCACUGAACCAACUCCCGAGUCUCUAGGACAUUCCUAAAAAAAUUUGAUUUUUUCCCAUAGGAAUGCAUGGGUUAGGUUUAUGGUUAGGGUUAGGGUUGGAGCUAGGGUUAGGGUUAGGGUUAGGGUUGGAGUUAGGGUUAGUGUUGGAGCUAGGGUUAGGGUUGGGCUUGGAGCUAGGAUUUUUCUGAGUGCACUGAACCAACUCCCGAGUCUCUAGGACGUUCCUAGAAAAAAUUGAUUUUUUCCCAUAGGAAUGCAUGGGUUAGGGUUAGGGUUAGGGUUGGAGCUAGGGUUAGGGUUAGGGUUAGGGUUGGAGUUAGGGUUAGUGUUGGAGCUAGGGUUAGGGUUGGGCUUGGAGCUAGGAUUUUUCUGAGUGCACUGAACCAACUCCCGAGUCUCUAGGACAUUCCUAAAAAAAUUUGAUUUUUUUCCCAUAGGAAUGCAUGGGUUAGGGUUAGGGUUAGGGUUAGGGUUGGAGCUAGGGUUAGGGUUAGGGUUAGGGUUGGAGUUAGGGUUAGUGAUGGAGCUAGGGUUAGGGUUGGGCUUGGAGCUAGGAUUUUUCUGAGUGCAAUGAACCAACUCCCGAGUCUCUAGGACGUUCCUAAAAAAAUUUGAUUUUUUCCCAUAGGAAUGCAUGGGUUAGGGUUAGGGUUAGGGUUGGAGCUAGGGUUAGGGUUAGGGUUAGGGUUGGAGUUAGGGUUAGUGUUGGAGCUAGGGUUAGGGUUGGGCUUGGAGCUAGGAUUUUUCUGAGUGCAAUGAACCAACUCCCGAGUCUCUAGGAAGUUCCUAAAAAAAUUUGAUUUUUUCCCAUAGGAAUGCAUGGGUUAGGGUUAUGGUUAUGGUUAGGGUUGGAGCUAGGGUUAGGGUUAGGGUUAGGGUUGGAGUUAGGGUUAGUGUUGGAGCUAGGGUUAGGGUUGGACUUGGAGCUAGGACUUUUCUGAGUGCAAUGAACCAACUCCCGAGUCUCUAGGACGUUCCUAAAAAAAUUUGAUUUUUUCCCAUAGGAAUGCAUGGGUUAGGGUUAGGGUUAGGGUUGGAGCUAGGGUUAGGGUUAGGGUUAGGGUUGGAGUUAGGGUUAGUGUUGGAGCUAGGGUUAGGGUUGGGCUUGGAGCUAGGAUUUUUCUGAGUGCACUGAACCACCUCCCGAGUCUCUAGGACAUUCCUAAAAAAAUUUGAUUUUUUCCCAUAGGAAUGCAUGGGUUAGGGUUAUGGUUAGGGUUAGGGUUGGAGCUAGGGUUAGGGUUAGGGUUAGGGUUGGAGUUAGGGUUAGUGUUGGAGCUAGGGUUAGGGUUGGGCUUGGAGCUAGGAUUUUUCUGAGUGCAAUGAACCAACUCCCGAGUCUCUAGGACAUUCCUAAAAAAAUUUGAUUUUUUUCCCAUAGGAAUGCAUGGGUUAGGGUUAGGGUUAGGGUUGGAGCUAGGGUUAGGGUUAGGGUUAGGGUUGGAGUUAGGGUUAGUGUUGGAGCUAGGGUUAGGGUUGGGCUUGGAGCUAGGAUUUUUCUGAGUGCACUGAACCAACUCCCGAGUCUCUAGGACAUUCCUAAAAAAAUUUGAUUUUUUCCCAUAGGAAUGCAUGGGUUAGGUUUAUGGUUAGGGUUAGGGUUGGAGCUAGGGUUAGGGUUAGGGUUAGGGUUGGAGUUAGGGUUAGUGUUGGAGCUAGGGUUAGGGUUGGGCUUGGAGCUAGGAUUUUUCUGAGUGCAAUGAACCAACUCCCGAGUCUCUAGGACGUUCCUAAAAAAAUUUGAUUUUUUCCCAUAGGAAUGCAUGGGUUAGGGUUAGGGUUAGGGUUGGAGCUAGGGUUAGGGUUAGGGUUAGGGUUGGAGUUAGGGUUAGUGUUGGAGCUAGGGUUAGGGUUGGGCUUGGAGCUAGGAUUUUUCUGAGUGCACUGAACCAACUCCCGAGUCUCUAGGACAUUCCUAAAAAAAUUUGAUUUUUUUCCCAUAGGAAUGCAUGGGUUAGGGUUAUGGUUAGGGUUAGGGUUGGAGCUAGGGUUAGGGUUAGGGUUAGGGUUGGAGUUAGGGUUAGUGUUGGAGCUAGGGUUAGGGUUGGGCUUGGAGCUAGGAUUUUUCUGAGUGCACUGAACCAACUCCAGAGUCUCUAGGACAUUCCUAAAAAAAUUUGAUUUUUUCCCAUAGGAAUGCAUGGGUUAGGGUUAGGGUUAGGGUUGGAGCUAGGGUUAGGGUUAGGGUUAGGGUUGGAGUUAGGGUUAGUGUUGGAGCUAGGGUUAGGGUUGGGCUUGGAGCUAGGAUUUUUCUGAGUGCACUGAACCAACUCUUUAGUCUCUAGGACAUUCCUAAAAAAAAUUGAUUUUUUUCCCAUAGGAAUGCAUGGGUUAGGGUUAUGGUUAGGGUUAGGGUUGGAGCUAGGGUUAGGGUUAGGGUUAGGGUUGGAGUUAGGGUUAGUGUUGGAUCUAGGGUUAGGGUUGGGCUUGGAGCUAGGAUUUUUCUGAGUGCACUGAACCAACUCCCGAGUCUCUAGGACAUUCCUAAAAAAAUUUGAUUUUUUCCCAUAGGAAUGCAUGGGUUAGGUUUAUGGUUAGGGUUAGGGUUAGAGCUAGGGUUAGGGUUAGGGUUAGGGUUGGAGUUGGGGUUAGUGUUGGAGCUAGGGUUAGGGGUGGGCUUGGAGCUAGGAUUUUUCUGAGUGCAAUGAACCAACUCCCGAGUCUCUAGGACGUUCCUAAAAAAAUUUGAUUUUUUCCCAGAGGAAUGCAUGGGUUAGGGUUAGGGUUAGGGUUGGAGCUAGGGUUAGGGUUAGGGUUAGGGUUGGAGUUAGGGUUAGUGUUGGAGCUAGGGUUAGGGUUGGGCUUGGAGCUAGGAUUUUUCUGAGUGCACUGAACCAACUCCCGAGUCUCUAGGACAUUCCUAAAAAAAUUUGAUUUUUUCCCAUAGGAAUGCAUGGGUUAGGGUUAUGGUUAGGGUUACGGUUGGAGCUAGGGUUAGGGUUAGGGUUAGGGUUGGAGUUAGGGUUAGUGUUGGAGCUAGGGUUAGGGUUGGGCUUGGAGCUAGGAUUUUUCUGAGUGCAAUGAACCAACUCCCGAGUCUCUAGGACGUUCCUAAAAAAAUUUGAUUUUUUUCCCAUAGGAAUGCAUGGGUUAGGGUUAGGGUUAGGGUUGGAGCUAGGGUUAGGGUUAGGGUUGGAGUUAGGGUUAGUGUUGGAGCUAGGGUUAGGGUUGGGCUUGGAGCUAGGAUUUUUCUGAGUGCAAUGAACCAACUCCCGAGUCUCUAGGACGUUCCUAAAAAAAAUUGAUUUUUUUCCCAUAGGAAUGCAUGGGUUAGGGUUAGGGUUAGGGUUGGAGCUAGGGUUAGGGUUAGGGUUAGGGUUGGAGUUAGGGUUAGUGUUGGAGCUAGGGUUAGGGUUGGGCUUGGAGCUAGGAUUUUUCUGAGUGCAAUGAACCAACUCCCGAGUCUCUAGGACGUUCCUAAAAAAAUUUGAUUUUUUCCCAUAGGAAUGCAUGGGUUAGGGUUAUGGUUAGGGUUAGGGUUGGAGCUAGGGUUAGGGUUAGGGUUAGGGUUGGAGUUAGGGUUAGUGUUGGAGCUAGGGUUAGGGUUGGGCUUGGAGUUAGGAUUUUUCUGAGUGCAAUGAACCAACUCCCGAGUCUCUAGGACGUUCCUAAAAAAAUUUGAUUUUUUCAGAUAGGAAUGCAUGGGUUAGGGUUAGGGUUAGGGUUGGAGCUAGGGUUAGGGUUAGGGUUAGGGUUGGAGUUAGGGUUAGUGUUGGAGCUAGGGUUAGGGUUGGGCUUGGAGCUAGGAUUUUUGUGAGUGCAAUGAACCAACUCCCGAGUCUCUAGGACGUUCCUAAAAAAAUUUGAUUUUUUCCCAUAGGAAUGCAUGGGUUAGGGUUAGGGUUAGGGUUGGAGCUAGGGUUAGGGUUAUGGUUAGGGUUGGAGUUAGGGUUAGUGUUGGAGCUAGGGUUAGGGUUGGGCUUGGAGCUAGGAUUUGUCUGAGUGCACUGAACCAACUCCCGAGUCUCUAGGACGUUCCUAAAAAAAUUUGAUUUUUUCCCAUAGGAAUGCAUGGGUUAGGGUUAUGUUUAGGGUUAGGGUUGGAGCUAGGGUUAGGGUUAGGGUUAGGGUUGGAGUUAGGGUUAGUGUUGGAGCUAGGGUUAGGGUUGGGCUUGGAGUUAGGAUUUUUCUGAGUGCAAUGAACCAACUCCCGAGUCUCUAGGACGUUCCUAAAAAAAUUUGAUUUUUUUCCCAUAGGAAUGCAUGGGUUAGGGUUAGGGUUAGGGUUGGAGCUAGGGUUAGGGUUAGGGUUGGAGUUAGGGUUAGUGUUGGAGCUAGGGUUAGGGUUGGGUCUUGGAGCUAGGAUUUUUCUGAGUGCACUGAACCAACUCCCGAGUCUCUAGGACAUUCCUAAAAAAAUUUGAUUUUUUCCCAUAGGAAUGCAUGGGUUAGGGUUAUGGUUAGGGUUAGGGUUGGAGCUAGGGUUAGGGUUAGGGUUAGGGUUGGAGUUAGGGUUAGUGUUGGAGCUAGGGUUAGGGUUGGGCUUGGAGCUAGGAUUUUUCUGAGUGCAAUGAACCAACUCCGGAGUCUCUAGGACGUUCCUAAAAAAAAUUGAUUUUUUCCCAUAGGAAUGCAUGGGUUAGGGUUAGGGUUAGGGUUGGAGCUAGGGUUAGGGUUAAGGUUAGGGUUGGAGUUAGGGUUAGUGUUGGAGCUAGGGUUAGGGUUGGGCUUGGAGCUAGGAUUUGUCUGAGUGCACUGAACCAACUCCCGAGUCUCUAGGACGUUCCUAAAAAAAUUUGAUUUUUUCCCAUAGGAAUGCAUGGGUUAGGGUUAGGGUUAGGGUUGGAGCUAGGGUUAGGGUUAGGGUUAGGGUUAGGGUUGGAGUUAGGGUUAGUGUUGGAGCUAGGGUUAGGGUUGGGCUUGGAGCUAGGAUUUGUCUGAGUGCACUGAACCAACUCCCGAGUCUCUAGGACAUUCCUAAAAAAAAUUGAUUUUUUCCCAUAGGAAUGCAUGGGUUAGGGUUAUAGUUAGGGUUAGGGUUGGAGCUAGGGUUAGGGUUAUGGUUAGGGUUGGAGUUAGGGUUAGUGUUGGAGCUAGGGUUAGGGUUGGGCUUGGAGCUAGGAUUUUUCUGAGUGCAAUGAACCAACUCCCGAGUCUCUAGGACGUUCCUAAAAAAAUUUGAUUUUUUCCCAUAGGAAUGCAUGGGUUAGGGUUAGGGUUAGGGUUGGAGCUAGGGUUAGGGUUAGGGUUGGAGUUAGGGUUAGUGUUGGAGCUAGGGUUAGGGUUGGGUCUUGGAGCUAGGAUUUUUCUGAGUGCACUGAACCAACUCCCGAGUCUCUAGGACAUUCCUAAAAAAAUUUGAUUUUUUCCCAUAGGAAUGCAUGGGUUAGGGUUAUGGUUAGGGUUAGGGUUGGAGCUAGGGUUAGGGUUAGGGUUAGGGUUGGAGUUAGGGUUAGUGUUGGAGCUAGGGUUAGGGUUGGGCUUGGAGCUAGGAUUUUUCUGAGUGCAAUGAACCAACUCCGGAGUCUCUAGGACGUUCCUAAAAAAAUUUGAUUUUUUCCCAUAGGAAUGCAUGGGUUAGGGUUAGGGUUAGGGUUGGAGCUAGGGUUAGGGUUAGGGUUAAGGUUGGAGCUAGGGUUAGGGUUAGGGUUAGGGUUAGGGUUGGAGCUAGGGUUAGGGUUAGGGUUAGAGCUAGGGUUAGGGUUAGGGUUGGGGCUAGGGUUAGUGUUAGGGUUAGGGUUAAAGCUUCUGAGAGGAACUUUUGAUUUGUGUCAAUUUUGGCGCCCCUUGUGGACAAAGCAGUCUUUGAAAAAAAAAAAAAACCUUCAAAACACUUUGUGUGGCUAAUCAUUGACUAAAUUCACAAAUUUGUUCUCCUAACAUGACGGUUUAAAUCUCAUUAUGUAAAAAAACAAUAAGAAAAUGAUUUUACUAUGACUUUAUUUAUCAGAGAAAUGACCUAAUUGUUCUAUCUUACAAUAAAAGAGAUACAAGUAUAAAAGAAAAGAAAAUGAAACAUAACAGAAAACAAUAAAUCAGUCAAACAAAAUAAAAAAAAUACCAACAUAAGACUAAAUAAGAUAAGAUAAAAUUGAAUAAAUUAUUAUCAUAAAAAUAAAACGCAACUAUAUAAAAUAUAUAAAAAAUGAAAUAAACAUCUCAGAGAACAGCUUUGCAGUGAUUUAGGGUUAGGGUUGGGCUUGGAGCUAGGAUUUUUCUGAGUGCACUGAACCAACUCCCGAGUCUCUAGGACAUUCCUAAAAAAAAUUGAUUUUUUUCCCAUAGGAAUGCAUGGGUUAGGGUUAUGGUUAGGGUUAGGGUUGGAGCUAGGGUUAGGGUUAGGGUUAGGGUUGGAGUUAGGGUUAGUGUUGGAGCUAGGGUUAGGGUUGGGCUUGGAGCUAGGAUUUGUCUGAGUGCACUGAACCAACUCCCGAGUCUCUAGGACGUUCCUAAAAAAAUUUGAUUUUUUCCCAUAGGAAUGCAUGGGUUAGGGUUAGGGUUAGGGUUGGAGCUAGGGUUAGGGUUAGGGUUAGGGUUAGGGUUGGAGUUAGGGUUAGUGUUGGAGCUAGGGUUAGGGUUGGGCUUGGAGCUAGGAUUUGUCUGAGUGCACUGAACCAACUCCCGAGUCUCUAGGACAUUCCUAAAAAAAAUUGAUUUUUUCCCAUAGGAAUGCAUGGGUUAGGGUUAUAGUUAGGGUUAGGGUUGGAGCUAGGGUUAGGGUUAUGGUUAGGGUUGGAGUUAGGGUUAGUGUUGGAGCUAGGGUUAGGGUUGGGCUUGGAGCUAGGAUUUUUCUGAGUGCAAUGAACCAACUCCCGAGUCUCUAGGACGUUCCUAAAAAAAUUUGAUUUUUUCCCAUAGGAAUGCAUGGGUUAGGGUUAGGGUUAGGGUUGGAGCUAGGGUUAGGGUUAGGGUUGGAGUUAGGGUUAGUGUUGGAGCUAGGGUUAGGGUUGGGUCUUGGAGCUAGGAUUUUUCUGAGUGCACUGAACCAACUCCCGAGUCUCUAGGACAUUCCUAAAAAAAUUUGAUUUUUUCCCAUAGGAAUGCAUGGGUUAGGGUUAUGGUUAGGGUUAGGGUUGGAGCUAGGGUUAGGGUUAGGGUUAGGGUUGGAGUAAGGGUUAGUGUUGGAGCUAGGGUUAGGGUUGGGCUUGGAGCUAGGAUUUUUCUGAGUGCAAUGAACCAACUCCGGAGUCUCUAGGACGUUCCUAAAAAAAUUUGAUUUUUUCCCAUAGGAAUGCAUGGGUUAGGGUUAGGGUUAGGGUUGGAGCUAGGGUUAGGGUUAGGGUUAAGGUUGGAGCUAGGGUUAGGGUUAGGGUUAGGGUUAGGGUUGGAGCUAGGGUUAGGGUUAGGGUUAGAGCUAGGGUUAGGGUUAGGGUUGGGGCUAGGGUUAGUGUUAGGGUUAGGGUUAAAGCUUCUGAGAGGAACUUUUGAUUUGUGUCAAUUUUGGCGCCCCUUGUGGACAAAGCAGUCUUUGAAAAAAAAAAAAAACCUUCAAAACACUUUGUGUGGCUAAUCAUUGACUAAAUUCACAAAUUUGUUCUCCUAACAUGACGGUUUAAAUCUCAUUAUGUAAAAAAACAAUAAGAAAAUGAUUUUACUAUGACUUUAUUUAUCAGAGAAAUGACCUAAUUGUUCUAUCUUACAAUAAAAGAGAUACAAGUAUAAAAGAAAAGAAAAUGAAACAUAACAGAAAACAAUAAAUCAGUCAAACAAAAUAAAAAAAAAUACCAACAUAAGACUAAAUAAGAUAAGAUAAAAUUGAAUAAAUUAUUAUCAUAAAAAUAAAACGCAACUAUAUAAAAUAUAUAAAAAAUGAAAUAAACAUCUCAGAGAACAGCUUUGCAGUGAUUUACAACAGGUUAAUAACAUACUGGGGAUGAAAAAGGACAUUCAUAGAGGCUGAGUCUCUGAGAAGGAAAGAUGGGGAGAGGUUCACCACUCUAUGAGAGACUGCAUGACUAAAUAGUUGAACAGUUGUUGAUUUCAUAAACUACACUUGAUCAGUAAAAGAUUCAUAAAUCUCCUCACAAAAGGGACAAUGUAGAAAACAUGGCUGUGAUCUUAACUGAAAACAGACAUGACUCUGUGGUGGAAAUCACUGCAUGGGCUCAAAAUCACUUCCAGAAAUCAUUACCUGUGAGCACAGAUCACAUAACAUCCACAAAGAGGUAAAAAAUGUAUCAUGUGAAGAGAAAACCAAACAUAAACAUGACCCCAAAACUAGAAAGAGUUACACCUUCAAACAGAGUCAGUGAUGUUUGUGGCAUCUCUUAUAACUGGUGCCUUUAAAUGGAUGAAAGAGGAUGAGACUGGGAACAUCAUCUUCCUUUUCUGAGGUCUUCUGCUGAAAUUGCACUCCAGUAGUUACAUAACGACAUCCAUUGAGGCUGUAACAAAUCGGGUUAAUUUUGGGAAUGGCUAAGAAAAAUUAGAGCUGCAUGGGGAGAAACUUGAGGACUUCUGUUUUUAGCUUUCUUAUGGACUCUACAUGAAAGAAGAAUAAUAAGUUAGGGUUUGGUUCCUCUAUAGACUUGUUAGGUUUUCUCUGUGAAAUUUUCUUUAAUUGGUAUUUUUGGGAGGUUUGGGGGAUUUUCCCAUCCACAACCAGUAGACAUUGAUUCCUCCCAAGGCUUUGGACAUUUUUCACUUUUCAUUUGAGGUUUUUAUACUCAGAAGUGAAAACCUUGUGCAUCCCUAUAUUAUUAAACUUCUGGAUUCAUUAUUAUUUUCCUUCAAUAAUUCAUUCUUUUCUUUCUCUAUUUUCUCCUCUUUGGCAGUAUUUCUUCCACUCUUUAUCUUUCUCUGCCAUCCAUGAUUCGCAGCCUCGUGCCACCAAAGUAAGUUUCUUAAUGCCCACUCUCAGAUCACCCAAUUCCCCUGUCUGACCUUGCAUUACCCACAAUGCUGCGGGUCAUCGGCCGUGUGCUCACCUAAUUCCACAAAUUGUGGCCAGGGCUCCUGUUCUGUUGAGCCCAGCACUUUAGUUUCCAUUUUUAGCGCUGCAGCUUUUCAGGGUUCUUAUCAUUAUUUUCCCUAAUAGGCUGAAGGAGGGAAGGUGAGUUUCAGCCUGGCCGAGCUCCUAAUGACGGCACCACCACACCCUUAUAAUGGGUAUUAAAGCACAAUCAUAUUAAGGUGUCCAGAGUAAAGUGAGUGUCACAUGGGGCAGUAUUUCUUCCUGCCUGUGAGCUUCAUGUUUGAGGAGGCGAGCACUCUGCUGACAACGCUAAACACACACCUUGUCCAAAGGUAGUUUAGCAGAGUGUCCUCACAGGACAUUCAUCCUUUUCUCCCAACAUAAUCAGUGAAUAGUUUAAUGCAUGAAAUAUAACAAGCUGUCAUUAUUGUUUAAAUCACCUACCAACACUGCGAGUUCACUGGUACUGAAAUGAAGUCUUUAUGGUGUUACGUUCAAAAGUUAUGGGCAAUUUAAAAAAUCCCUAUUCAAGUCAAUGGGAUUGUCCGGGGCUGCUGCCCUCUAUCGCAAGAUCAGACACAAUUUUUUUUAAGUGUUUAGGGUUAGGUUAAGGGUAGGGGUUAGGGGUUAAGGUUAAAAUCACUGUCCAUAAAAAUUUCAAAAAGUAGUAUGGUAAAAAUUUCAUAUUUAAGUAUGAAAAAAAUGUCACAGUAUAGCAUGAAAACAAGUCAAAUUUUAGUGUGAAAAAAUCAUAUUUUAGUUUUAAAAAAUGUCAUCGUAAAGAAUAAAUAAAAAAUGUCAUAAUAUAGUAUGAAAGUUAAUUUAAUGUUGAAGAAUUAAAAAGAAAUAUAUUUUAGUAUGAAAAUAAAAAUGCCAGUAAAGUG
rnacentral:lncRNA from 1 species